rnacentral:rRNA from 1 species
UACGAAGGGGGCUAGCGUUGUUCGGAAUUACUGGGCGUAAAGCGCACGUAGGCGGACAUUUAAGUCAGGGGUGAAAUCCCGGGGCUCAACCCCGGAACUGCCUUUGAUACUGGGUGUCUUGAGUGUGGUAGAGGUGAGUGGAAUUGCGGGUGUAGAGGUGAAAUUCGUAGAUAUUCGCAGGAACACCAGUGGCGAAGGCGGCUCAC